rnacentral:tRNA from 1 species
AGUUCAAUACGGAUAAAUACGUUAUUCCUUCGACUCAUAAUCGGCAGGUCCCUGGUUCAAGUCCAGGUGGGGCCACCA